rnacentral:rRNA from 1 species
UACGGAGGGUGCAAGCGUUAUCCGGAUUCACUGGGUUUAAAGGGUGCGUAGGUGGGUUGGUAAGUCAGUGGUGAAAUCUCCGAGCUUAACUUGGAAACUGCCAUUGAUACUAUCAGUCUUGAAUAUUGUGGAGGUCAGCGGAAUAUGUCAUGUAGCGGUGAAAUGCUUAGAGAUGACAUAGAACACCAAUUGCGAAGGCAGCUGGCUACACAUAUAUUGACACUGAGGCACGAAAGCGUGGGGAUCAAACAGG